GCCGGAAGCUGCGGGGCGGGAGCCUGGGGCCGGAAGCCGCGGGGCGGGCGGCGGCGCUCCCGGAGGUAGCGCGGACGUCGCGUGCGUCCGGGCGGUGCGUCGGGCUGCAGGAGAAGAUGGCGGUCUCCACAGGCGUUAAAGUUCCUCGUAAUUUUCGCUUGUUGGAAGAACUUGAAGAAGGACAAAAAGGAGUAGGCGAUGGUACGGUUAGCUGGGGCCUGGAAGAUGAUGAAGAUAUGACACUUACAAGGUGGACAGGCAUGAUUAUUGGGCCACCAAGGACAAAUUAUGAAAACAGAAUAUAUAGCCUGAAAGUAGAAUGUGGACCUAAAUACCCAGAAGCACCUCCAUCAGUUAGAUUUGUAACCAAAAUUAAUAUGAAUGGAGUAAAUAAUUCCAGUGGAAUGGUGGAUGCACGGAGCAUACCAGUGUUAGCAAAAUGGCAGAACUCAUACAGCAUUAAAGUUGUACUUCAAGAGCUAAGACGUCUAAUGAUGUCCAAAGAAAAUAUGAAGCUUCCACAGCCACCAGAAGGACAAACAUACAACAAUUAAUUUUAGUGGAUUUAAAACUUGUCUUAAAUCAACAACCUUCUAUUCAUGUUAAUGUCUUGAUUAAAUAUCACAAUGCAAAAUACCCACACAUUAAGUAAGAUAAUUCCAGCUGGUAAACAUGACCUGGACAUCUGUAAGAGUAUAUUUAAUAUAUGUACACCCAUUAUGUUUUCAGGUAACAGGAGGAAAAUUCAGCACAGUUUUUUUUCUUGUUAAGGCACCGUCAUUUAAGCAUGAACCUGGAGUACUCAGAGUGGAACUCAGGUUUCCAGGUGGAAGAACAGCAAGAAGUGUCAGAUGGCUGUGCAAGCAGAUGUGUUUCUGAAGAGAAAGCCCAAGAAGGAAAACCCAGAAUGGCGUGCUCUCGCUUAGUGAAAGAGCUUCCGUUGAAAUGGUCUAAAGUGGCAGAGUACAUGGCUGGAAAAUAUCAAUGUGUUUCCCACCCUGGAUUUGGUGUGAGACCAUGUGGGCGGCUCUGGAAGACGCAUCGUGAGGUAUAGACUUCGGCCAAAGCUGUGCUCACUCUUCUCAUGGGUACACAGCCGUGCUUGCAUGUACACGUUAAAGAGUGUAAAUGCAGAUGAUGCUGUCUAGUGUCAUGAAUAACAAUUUGGGGAGUUAUUUAAGGAAUUUUUUCCCCCAGAUUUUCUCGGUAAGUAUAUUUUUUAGACAUAUAUGUGAAGCAUUAUAGUAUAAUUAAUUGCUGGGAAGGAUCUAAAAGGCACUGAUUUCACUUUUCUGAGAAGUAACAGUAUGAUUUUCCAGUAACAACUUGAUUGGCUUUUGGUUGUGUUCACAAAAAGAUUGCAGCUCCGAAGAUUUUGGAAAGCAUUUGUAUUUUGUAUAUAAAACAGAAACGUUAUGAAAAGCAGUGGAUGCAGCGUAUUACAGGCUUGAUAGGAGCGUUAGCAGUUAAUUCCUACCCAGUACUGUGUUUAUUGACAAGCAAAAUGUAUGGAAAUAGAAUAUCUUUUAUGCUAAAAUUAAUAUGCCUCUUUGAAGUUACUAAACAGUAGAUGGAAAUCUUAUCAUAGGUCAUACUGAAAAUGUUGGCUAUUUUAAAAGUAUAGUGGAAUACUGAAAAGAUACACCAUAAGUAUUUUCUGAAGGGAAAAUUAUCGACGUAUUUGCUGACACAGAAAAUAAAUGACAAGUCAAAACUGUCAUCCUGUGAAAUAAGGGAGUUUGAGGGAAUCAUGGAGUGAGUACGUGAUUUUAAAGAAUCACUGGAUGUGAAGAGGUUGCCCAUUGUGUUUACGUACAUCUCUAAUGGGACAUUCUCACCUAAAAAAUUCCUAAAGGUCCUCUGCAUUUCAUUUUUACAUGUAAUCUAAAGAUCAGUACAGAAUUUUUUCUGCAACUUCAUUUAUGAAAUCAGUGAUAAAAUCCAGAUAGAUUUCACUUUCUUAACUUAGAAACAUUCCAGGAAUCAUCCUUUCUCCAGUGGGUAGCUGACCAGAUACCAUGUAAGGAUUGUGCAGUGGCCCCUCUGCUCCAGAUGUAGACUUACCAUGUGAAUUCUUUUAUCUUGUCUUAGUUGAGUACUGAGCAGCUGCUUACAUCUGUCUGAGAUUUUGGCAGCCAAAAGAUUAUACAAAAGUAAAGGUAAUAUUCCACCUCCAAAGGAAGACUAAUCUCUGGCACUGAGAAACCAAUGAAGUGAGAAACCCCGUGGUCAGUAAAGAAGCAAAUCUUUGAAUUCAUUGAGAGUGAAAACUGUUCCUUGUUUGUUCAGUGCAGUUGAGUAAUUAAAAUAUUGUUCAGAGAUUAUGGGGAAACAUUAAACAAUGGAGUGUGUGUAUUCUUCCUUCAUCUGAUAUAAUAGCUUUUUUUUUUUAAACAGGCUUUUAACAAUAGAUAAUUUUACAGAGUAAUCUGGAAAAUUAACAGUGUAAUGUAAAGUGAGGUUUCGACAGGACACGUACAUUAAAAUGUAGUAAGAUUAGUUAUAAUACUUAAUGUCAUGUUUUUUGGGUCCAAAGACUCUUCCAAUCAACAAGCAUGGUAAUUGUGAGUGCUUAUUACACAGGGUGAGACUUUAUAGCCUUUGUAGUUUGUCAGCCCUUAAUUUGAGGGAAAAAGGUAGAUUUUCUCCACAGUGGAUAACUGACAAAGAGAAAUGUAUUGUUUUACUGCUUCUCAAGCCACAUUGUCCAAAUAAGUAGUGAUUGCCAGAUGUCCAGAUUAUAUCCACUAUCAUAAAUUAUCUUUUUAUUGCUGUAAUUUAAAAAAUCAUCUUAAUACUCAAGUAAAAGUAAUUGAGUUCACAAGAAAAGUAAAAUAUCUAAUUGCCUGGGUUUCUUAAUCUUGAGUAACAUACGGACUUCUUUAAGGAGAACAGUAAUUCUUUUGGACUCAGUAUUGUCUUGAAUUAUUUUUGUUAAAACAUUGUUUAAUGCAUAAAAUUGUAUCAAUGCAAAUGUAUAAACUUCUUAGUCCUAUAAAAUUAUAAAGCAAAUUAACACAAUUACAUAGUAAUUAAAAUGUAAAAGACUUUAA